CAGCCGCCGCGGUAAUACGUAUGUCACAAGCGUUAUCCGGAUUUAUUGGGCGUAAAGCGCGUCUAGGUGGUUAUGUAAGUCUGAUGUGAAAAUGCAGGGCUCAACUCUGUAUUGCGUUGGAAACUGUGUAACUAGAGUACUGGAGAGGUAAGCGGAACUACAAGUGUAGAGGUGAAAUUCGUAGAUAUUUGUAGGAAUGCCGAUGGGGAAGCCAGCUUACUGGACAGAUACUGACGCUAAAGCGCGAAAGCGUGGGUAGCAAACAGGAUUAGAUACCCCAGUAGUCCCUGUCUCUUAUACA
rnacentral:rRNA from 1 species